rfam:Brachypodium distachyon strain Bd21 chromosome 1, whole genome shotgun sequence.
UUAGUACUUCCUCCGUCCAAUGAAGGAUGUCUCAACUUUGACUAAAUUUGAAUGCAUCUAUACACUAAGUCAUGUCUAGAUACAUAACAAAUUUUGACAAACUUGAGACAUCUUUUGUUGGACGGAGGGAGUAUGUA